rnacentral:rRNA from 1 species
CCUACGGGGGGCAGCAGUUAGGAAUCUUGCGCAAUGGGCGAAAGCCUGACGCAGCGACGCCGCGUGAGUGAAGAAGGCCUUCGGGUUGUAAAGCUCUUUCGACGGGGAUGAAAAAAAUGACGGUACCCGUAUAAGAAGCACCGGCUAACUCUGUGCCAGCAGCCGCGGUAAUACAGAGGGUGCAAGCGUUAUUCGGAAUCACUGGGCGUAAAGUGCACGUAGGUGGCUUGGUAAGUUAGAUGUGAAAUCCCUCGACUCAAUCGAGGACCUGCAUC